rnacentral:rRNA from 1 species
AUUGAACGCUGGCGGCAGGCUUAACACAUGCAAGUCGAGCGAGCGGCGGACGGGUGAGUAGUGUCUGGGAAACUGCCUGAUGGAGGGGGAUAACUACUGGAAACGGUAGCUAAUACCGCAUAACAGCAGAUGUGCACAGAUGGGAUUAGCUAGGAGGGGGGGUAAUGGCUAACCUAGGCUACGAUCCCUAGCUGGUCGGAGAGGAUGACCAGCCACACUGGAACUGAGACACGGUCCAGACUCCUACGGGCGGCAGCUGUGGGGAAUAUUGGAAAAUGGGCGCAAGCCUGAUGCAGCCAUGCCGCGUGUGGGAAGAAGGCCUUCGGGUUGUAAAGCACUUUCAGCGAGGAGGCGUUACUCGCAGAAGAAGCACCGGCUAACUCCGUGCCAGCAGCCGCGGUAAUUC